GGGCAGACACACUGAAGUCGCUAGACAUUUGAGGAACACAUCCGGGGAAGAAGACACAGGUGGCUGGUCAUGGAGAGCCCGCUGGGGGAAGAGCACACAGACAGGCACCGGCAGGCCAUUGACCAGCGGGACAAGGUGGGCUCAAUGUCAUCACAAGGGUGCUUAAGAGGGAAAGAGGAAGCCAUGAGGGUCAGAGUCAAAGGAAGACUUGAAGAUACUACACUGCGGACUUUAAAGAUGAAGGAAGGGGCGAAAACCAAGAAUGUGGGAAGCCUCUAGAAGCUAGAGAAGGCAAGGAAACAAAUUUUCCACUAGAGCCUCCAGAAGGAACACAGCCCUGCUGACCCACUGUAAUGUCUGACCUCUAGAUGUGUAAGGGUAGUAAGACUGAAAGUCUCAGAAAGGCACUGUUAAAUUCUUAUUCCUCAACUAUGCAACUCAAAACUGGGGUCCUCAGCAGUGAGCGAGGGGUGAGAGAAGACACUGUAUAAACAUGGCACAUCCUCCUGGAAAGUCAACUUUACUCAAAGCUUUAGAAACCCAGCUCAAACUAGCUGAAGCAGAAAAGACAUUACUGCGCCUAUAAGUUGAAACUUUGGAGGGAUAAAUUUCAGAGGUGUGGCUAGAUCCAACGGCUCUCUGGAAAACUCUGUGAAAAAAAUGCUUCCUCAAGUCCAGAAACCAGAAGCUCAGGAAAUUGUUGCUUGGUUCCUCUUGUUAGAGGCAGAGAUUAUUCAACGACCUACAGGGUAGCGUUUGAACAUUGUUACCAGGAAUCUUUACUUUGCCAUCUUCCAAGUCUGUUCUCCUCAGUAUUGGUUUCAUUUACAAGCAGGCCAUCUCUGCCCUCAUGGCAAUGAUGGUCUUUACUCCAGGCUUAAGACCCUUACUAUCUACUAUUUCCAAAGCGGAGAGAGAACUUCCCACACCUAGUGACCUGUGACACAGGAUUUUAUCCUUCGUACAGAGGGAAUUCAGUUGGCUAACAUAAUCUGCCUUCCAAUGGAGUAAGAAUGUCUGGACUCUUUCCUUCACCUACCCCCAAGACAUGGAGGCGUCUAAAAGAUAAAUAAAACUUGGCAACUGACCGAAGGAGGAAGAGGGGAUUUCAGGCAAAAUCAACGCUGUUCACUACGAGGAGACUUCAGAAAGGUUGCCUGCUUCUGGGGAGCAUAGUCCCUGAUUCCUCAAGACAUACGUUUAUUCUUUUCUUCAAUGUCUUUGCCUGCAGUCAAAACAAAACCAUUACCUUUAGCCAAGUUCACACAUUUCAGCCAAAUCCAUAUGCAUCGGAUCAGUUCUGUAGGUUAUGGGUGAGCAUGAACAUAUAAAAGAGGCACCUGCCUGUGCCUAUCUACUCCAUGGAAUUUCAAAAGGGGCCACUUAUGGAGAAUGUCUUUAGGGACAGAACCAACCACCCUGUCUUUCCUCCAACUCUCAAAGUAACUUCUGGCUUUAAUCCUCAAGUGUCUAUGCUGGAGUUUAAGAAAAAUGUUUUUCAUAGAAUUCAUGUGUAUGAUAUUGCAUGAGUUGUCCAUCUUUGUAUAUAUCUCAAGACUUGUGGUGUUAGUUAAAGAUUCAGAGCUCUGUGUCCUGAACACAGAGUAAUACCAGCAUUACUAAGGAUGAUCGUGGGAUUUUAAAAUUCCUCCCUUAGAUAGAUCUUACGAACUUAUGUUACCAAUCAACAUAAGUUAAGACAAAAAGAGCAAAUUUAGAUGUAAAACCAUCUUGGGGCCAGGUGCUGUGGCUCACGCCUGUAAUCCCAGCACUUUGGGAGGCCGAGGCGGGCGGAUCACUAGGUCAGGAGAUCGAGACCAUCUUGGCCAACACGGUGAAACCCUGUCUCUACUAAAAAUACAAAAAAAUUAGCCGGGCAUGGUGGCAGGCGCCUGUAGUCCCAGCUACUAGGGAGGCUGAGGCAGGAGAAUGGUGUGAACCCUGGAAGCGGAGCUUGCAGUGAGCCAAGAUCAUGCCACUGCACUGCAGCUUGGGCGACAGAGCGAGACUCCGUCUCAAAAAAAACCAAACCAACAAACAAACAAACAAAAAAAAACCAUCUUGGGACUUCCCUCAGCAUUUUGGGGAAAUGCUCUCUGAUUUUAAAAAAAGUACUGGAUGGCCAGAAGUGCUGUUCUUUUUUUUUUUUAAAUGUUAACAAGUCGUUUAUUUACCCAGUGUACAGGGAAAAUCAACCUAUACAUCUUGUCUUUGGUAAUUGAGACAUUACUUAGUAUCUGCAAUGUUUAGAAAUUUGCAUUGUUGACAUUUCCUGUCAUCAGGUCUUACUUGAGGUGUCUUUCUUUCUUUGUUUAUUAUACUUUAAGUUCUAGGGUACAUGUGCACAAUGUGCAGGUUUGUUACAUAUGUAUACAUGUGCAAUGUUGGUGUGCUGCACCCAUUAACUCGUCAUUUACUUUAGGUAUAUCUCCUAAUGCUAUCCCUCCCCGCUUCCCCACCCCACGACAGGCCCCGGUGUGUGAUGUUCCCCUUCCUGUGUCCAAGUGUUCUCAUUGUUCAAUUCCCACCUAUGAGUGAGAACAUGUGGUGUUUGCUUUUUUGUUCUUGUGAUAGUUUGCUGAGAAUGAUGGUUUCCAGCUUCAUCCGUGUCCCUACAAAGGACAUGAACUCAUCGUUUUUUAUGGCUGCGUAGUAUUCCAUGGUGUAUAUGUGCCACAUUUUCUUAAUCCAGUCUGUCAUUGAUGGACAUUUGGGUUGGUUGCAAGUCUUUGCUGUUGUGAAUAGUGCCGCAAUAAACAUACAUGUGCUUGUGCCUUUA
rnacentral:lncRNA from 1 species